AUUGUACUCCCUUCGUCCGGAAAUACUUGUCAUCAAAAUGGAUAAAAGGGGAUGUAUCUAGACGUAUUUUAGUUUUAGAUACAUCUCCAUUUAUUCAUUUUGAUGACAAGUAUUUUCGGACGGAGGGAGUACAAG
rnacentral:pre_miRNA from 1 species